AUUGAACGCUGGCGGCAUGCCUUACACAUGCAAGUCGAACGGCAGCACGGGUGCUUGCACCUGGUGGCGAGUGGCGAACGGGUGAGUAAUACAUCGGAACGUACCUUAUCGUGGGGGAUAACGCAGCGAAAGCUGUGCUAAUACCGCAUACGCCCUGAGGGGGAAAGCGGGGGAUCGCAAGACCUCGCGCGAUUAGAGCGGCCGAUGCCUGAUUAGCUUGUUGGUGGGGUAAAAGCCCACCAAGGCGAUGAUUAGUAGCUGGUCUGAGAGGACGAUCAGCCACACUGGGACUGAGACACGGCCCAGACUCCUACGGGAGGCAGCAGUGGGGAAUUUUGGACAAUGGGGGCAACCCUGAUCCAGCAAUGCCGCGUGAGUGAAGAGGGCCUUCGGGUUGUAAAGCUCUUUUGUCAGGGAAGAAACACCGGCUCUAACACAGUCUGGGAAUGACGGUACCUGAAGAAUAAGCACCGGCUAACUACGUGCCAGCCGCCGCAGUAA
rnacentral:rRNA from 1 species